UGGAAGUAAAAGUCGUAACUUUUGUUUCCGUAGGUGAACCUGCGGAAGGAUCAUUCACAAGAUUAUAUUUUAUAUUACUUUGUGGAACAUUUGGUUGAAUUUACAUGUUUUAUUACAAAAAAUUAAUUAUAAUUAAAAAAAUAAUUUUAAGAAAACCUCCAACAACGGAUCUCUUGGUUCCCAGAUCGAUGAAGAGCGCAGCGAAUUGCGAAAUGUGAUGUGUAUUGCAGUGAAUCAUCAAUUCUUGAACGCACAUGGCACCCCUUUUAGGGGUAUGCUUGUAUGAGGGUGUUUAAUAUGAAAUUGCUUUGGCUUUUUUUAAAUAAAUGGUUUUUCAAAUUGUUAC
rnacentral:misc_RNA from 1 species